rnacentral:misc_RNA from 1 species
UUGUGGAGGAGGACGCCGAAGGUGGGGCUAAUGACUGGGGUGAAGUCGUAACAAGGUAGCCGUACCGGAAGGUGCGGCUGGAUCACCUCCUAACAGGGAGACAACAAAAUGUUUAAUAUUAUUUUGUCACCUUAGGUCGAUCGGUAUCUCACGUUCUUAUUUAUUAAGGAUUUCAAGUCCUAAGUUUUUUCUAGGUCACACCCAUUACUUUUCCUGGGCCAUUAGCUCAGGUGGUUAGAGCGCACCCCUGAUAAGGGUGAGGUCCCUGGUUCAAGUCCAGGAUGGCCCAUAUCUCUAUGUUGGGGGUAUAGCUCAGUUGGUAGAGCGCCUGCUUUGCAAGCAGGAUGUCAGCGGUUCGAGUCCGCUUACCUCCACUGAUUCCCACCUCUUGCAUAGUCUAUAGAAAGGAAAUGUUUUGAGUUGUGAUCAAAUCCUGAACGAAUCUAGCUUCCUAAUGAAAUUAUUAAGAUGCUGGACUCAUUGAAUUAAUUUCAUUGUUUUCAGAGAACCUUGACAACUGCAUAGAUUAUUUUAAAGACAAUAAGCAUCUUUAAUGAUGCAGAUUUAUUAUUUUUGCGAAUGCAUUAAUAACAAUUCUAUUAAGCUGAUGCUUCAAUUUUGAAGUUAUUGGUCAAGCUACAA